CACGUAGGCACCAAGCGUUGUCCGGAUUUAUUGGGCGUAAAGCGUGCGUAGGUGGUUCGUUAAGUCUGUCGUGAAAGCCCCGGGCUCAACCUGGGAAUUGCAUUCGAGACUGCAUGGCUAGGAUGCGGAAGAGGGAAGCGGAAUUUCCGGUGUAGCGGUGAAAUGCGUAGAUAUCGGAAGGAACACCAGUGGCGAAAGCGGCUUCCUGGUCCAGCAUCGACGUUCAGGCACGAAAGCGUGGGGAGCAAACAGG
rnacentral:rRNA from 1 species